rnacentral:rRNA from 1 species
UACAGAGGUCCCAAGCGUUGUUCGGAUUCACUGGGUUUAAAGGGUGCGUAGGAGGGCAGGUAAGUCAGUGGUGAAAUCUCCGGGCUUAACUCGGAACUGCCGUUGAUACUAUCUGUCUUGAGUACCGUGGAGGUGAGCGGAAUAUGUCAUGUAGCGGUGAAAUGCUUAGAUAUGACAUAGAACACCAAUUGCGAAGGCAGCUCACUACACGAAACAUUGACGCUGAGGCACGAAAGCGUGGGGAUCAAACAGGA